rnacentral:rRNA from 1 species
UACAUGAAGCUGGAAUCGCUAGUAAUCGCGGAUCAGAAUGCCGCGGUGAAUACGUUCCCGGGUCUUGUACACACCGCCCGUCACACCAUGGGAGUCGGAAAUGCCCGAAGCCGGUGACCUAACCUUUCAGGAAGGAGCCGUCGAAGGCAGGUCUGAUAACUGGGGUGAAGUCGUAACAAGGUAUC